rnacentral:tRNA from 1 species
GAGCCGUUAGCUCAGUCGGUAGAGCACCGGACUUUUAAUCCGGGUGUCUCGGGUUCAAGUCCCGAACGGCUCACCA